GGGGCCUUAGCUCAGCUGGGAGAGCGCCUGCCUUGCACGCAGGAGGUCAGCGGUUCGCAUCCCGCUAGGCUCCA
rnacentral:tRNA from 1 species